UUUUCUAUGCUACAUGGUUUCCUGUAGUAUAGUUCAUAUUUAAUGAUGAAAUUAGGAAAUUAAGACAAGUUAAGUAGCUUGACUGUGGUUGUAUAUAGAGGUGAAAAAAAGUCUUCCCUCCCCCAAUAAAGUAGAGGACACUAAAGCAGCAUUAAAGCAACAGAAAAGAUUUUCAAAGUAACAGUAUAUUAUCACUGUCUCUUUCUUACCUGGAAAAGUAGAAAUCAUGCAGGAUACCCUAUAAAUCAAGUUCACCUGCUGCCCAGGAAGGCCCCAUUUGAGGCUAAUAAAAAAUAAUCAUAAUCAAAAUAAUCAUUACUAAGUGAUAAUAAUUAUCAAUUUUUUAAAAGAGGACAAAAUGAACUUUGCAGAACAGACAGACUCACAGACUUUGAAAAACUUAUGCUUUCUAAAGGAGACAGGUUGGGGGUAGUGGGAUGGGCUAGGGGUUUGGGAUGGAAGUGCUAUAAAAUUGGGUUAUGUUGAUCAUUGUACAACUGUAAAUGUAAUAAAAUUCAUCAAGUAAUUUUUUUAAAAGUGUUUCAAAUUCCCAACACUAAAUGCUGGUUAUGUCCUUGAUGAUAGAUGGAGGUCUAAUUUUAUUAGGAAGGAAUUUCCUCAAUCAUCCCUUUCAGUAACCAAAAAUGCAUAAAAAAGAAAAAAAGGAAAAAAUAUGUCUGACAACCUAACCAGUUACCAAUGUUCAAUUUCUAUAUAAUUUCUCACACACACACACACACACACACACACACACACACACUUCAUCUUUUUUCAGUGAGAUGAAGUGAAGUUCAUUGACUGAAAUGGCCAUGAGCCAAAGUGUCCAUCAGCUCUCAGGAUGAACCUGAGAACUACAAAGCUGGGCAUACUGAUCAGACCUGGCUUCAGAAAAUUUCUGGAACGCUGAGACCCCCAAACACAUCUCUUUCUUACCAGCUAAUUGGUGUUCAAAAUCUCACCAAUCAGAGUCCCAUCCUUUCAAUUUAAAAGUUUGAUUCUCAUAAUAAUGUCAGUUUCCCAUUUCUUGGGACUCCAUUUUCCCCCAAAAGAUGUAAUACUUCAUCAGUCAUCAUUUAUACCCUAAAUAAAAUAUAUCAAACCUGGGAGCAUUCUUACAGACCAUCUUAUCUAUCAACCUUAAAAGAACAAAUGAGACUCAGCAAGGUAAAGUAAUUUUCUUAAAUUUGCACAUAAAAUUAGUAACAGAGGAAGGACUUACCUCAAGGUGAAUGAAGACAAUAAGGACAGUACCAUAUUAUUUAUAUAGCUUUAUAGCAUUAUCUGAAAUCUGGGAGCCUGAUUCCUCCAUUUUUGUUUUUGUUUUUCAAUAUUGCAUUGGCUAUUCAGUGUGUUUUGUGUUUCCAUAAGAAUUUAAAAUAUUUUGUUCCAGUUCUGUGGAGAAUGUCCUUGGUAAUUUUGACAAGGAUUGCAUUGAAUCUGUAGAUUGCCUUAGGUGGUAGUAUAGUCAUUUUGACAAUAUUGGUUUUUCCAAUCCAAGAACAUGGUAUAUCUUUCCAUUUGUUUGUGUGUUUUUUAUUUCUUUCAUCAGAGUCUUAUAGUUUUCAUAGUACAGUACUUUUGCUUAUUUAGGUAGGUUUAGUCCUAGCUAUUUUAUUCUUUUUGAUGCAACAGUGAAUGUGAUUAUUUCCUUAAUUUCUCUUUCUGAUAUUUCAUUAUUAGUAUAUAGAUAUGCAAUUGAUUUAUGUGUGUUAAUUUUGUAUCCUGCAAAUUUUCCAAAUUCAUUGAUGUGUUCUAAAAGUUUUCUGGUAGUGACUUCAGGAUAUUCUAGGUGUAGUACCAUGUCAUCUGCAAACAGUGACAGUUUUACUUCUUCUUUUCCAAUUUAGAUUCAUUUUAUUUCUUUUUCUUCUCUGGUUGUCAUUUCUAAGAUUUCCAAACCUAUGUGGAGUAUUAGUGGUGAAAGUAGACAUCCUUUUCUUGUUCCUGUUCUUAGUGGAAAUGUUGUCAAUUUUUCACCAUUGAGAAUGGUAUUAGCUGUGGGAUUGUCAUAUACGGCUAUUAUUAUGUUGAGGUAGGUUCACUCUAUGUCCACUUUCUGGAGAGGGUGAUUUUUUUUUUAUUUUAUCAGAAACAGUGUUGAAUUUUGUCAAAAGCUUUUUCUGCAUCUACUGUUCAUAUAGUUUUUAUUUUUCCAGUUUGUUGAGGCGGCCGAUCACACUGAUUGAUUUUCAAAUUGAAGAAUCCUUACAUCCCUGUGAAAAAUCCCACUUGAUCAUAAUGUUUGAUCCUUUUAAUAUGUAUUUGUAUUCACUUUGCUAAUAUUUUGUUGGGGAUUUUUGCACUAUGUCCAUCAGUGAUAUUGGCCUUUAAUUUUCCUUUUUUUGUGUGUUAUCCUUAUCUGGUUUUGGUAUCAGGGUGAUGGUGGGCCCAUAGAAUGAGCGUGGGAGUGUUUCUUCCUCUGCAGGUUUUUGGAAGAGUUUCAGAAUAAUAGGUGUUAAACCUUCUCUGAAUGUUUGGUAGAAUUUGCCUGUGUAGCCUUCAGGUCCUGAACUUUUGUUCUCCAGAAAUUUCUAAAUCACAUUUUCAAUUUCAGUAUGUGUGAUUGGUCUAUUCAUAUUUUCAAUUUCUUCUUGGUUCAGUCUUGGUAGUUUAUACCUUUGUAAGAAUCUGUCCACUUCUUCUAGGAUGUCUAUUUUAUUAGCAUAUUUUUGCUUGUGGUAGUCUCUUAUGAUCUUUUGUAUUUCCGUGGAGUCAGUUGAUGACUCUGGCUAAAGGUUUACCAGGUUUUUUGUUCUGUUUUGUUGCUUUUUAGUGCUGAACCCAUGGAAUAUUGAAGGUCCCAUAUUAGGGGUCAAAUUGGAACUACAGUUGCUGGCCUACACCAGAGACACAGCAACACAGGAUCUGAGCCAUGUCUGAGACCUACACCACACCUCACAGCAAUGCCAGAUCCCUGACCCACUAAGCUAGACCAGGGACCAAACCCACAUCCCCAUGGAUACUAGUUGGAUUCAUUUCCAAUGAGUCACAAUGGGAACUCCCUUUUUUUGUCUUUUUAUGGAUGCGCACUAUGGCAUAUGGAAGUUAACAGGCUAAGGGUCAAAUCAGAGCUGUAGCCACUGGCCUAUGCCACAUCCACAGCAACUCAGGAUCUGAUCCACAUCUGUGACAUACCCCAUAUCUCACAGCAACCCCAGAUCCUUAACCCAUUCAUGGAGGCCAGGGAUUGAACCUACAUCCUCAUUGUUCCUAGUAGGAUUCAUUACUGCUAAGCACCAGUGGGAACUACUGGUUUUGUUGAUCUUUUCAAGGGAUGAACUUUCGGUUUCAUUGAUCUUCUCUAUUGUUUUCUUUGUCUUUAUUUAAUUUGUUUCUGCUAUGAUCUUUAUAAUUUCUUUCCUUCUACUACUAUCUGGCUUUGUUUGUUCUUCCUUCUCCAGUGGUUUUAGGUGUAAUUUUAGGUCAUUUAUUUGAACUUUUUCUUGUUUCCUGAGAAAAGAUUGUAUUGCUAUAAAUUUCCCUCUCAUAACUACUUUUACUGUGUCCAAAGCAGUUUGGAGGUACUUCAGAAAACUAAAUAUAGAACUCCACAUGAUCCAGCAAUCCCCUUCCUGGGCAUAUUUCCCCACAAAACUUUCAUUCAAAAAGAUACAUUCAGCCGAGAGGACAAGAUGGCGGAGGAGUAGGGGGACACGCUC
rnacentral:lncRNA from 1 species